UUGGCUCAGGAUGAACGCUGGCGGCGUGCUUAACACAUGCAAGUCGAACGAAGAUGCCGGAGUGCUUGCACUUUGGUAGACUGAGUGGCGGACGGGUGAGUAACGCGUGGGUAACCUGCCUUAUACAGGGGGAUAACAGUUGGAAACGACUGCUAAUACCGCAUAAGCGCACGGUAUCGCAUGAUACAGUGUGAAAAACUCCGGUGGUAUAAGAUGGACCCGCGUCUGAUUAGCUGGUUGGUGAGGUAACGGCCCACCAAGGCGACGAUCAGUAGCCGGCCUGAGAGGGUGAACGGCCACAUUGGGACUGAGACACGGCCCAAACUCCUACGGGAGGCAGCAGUGGGGAAUA
rnacentral:rRNA from 1 species